GGUCCCGUGGUGUAGUCUGGUCUAACACGCCUGAUUGUCAAUCAGGAGAUCGCCGGUUCAAAUCCGGUCGGGACCGCCA
rnacentral:tRNA from 1 species